UAAACCCAUCGUAAAUCGAAAAUAUCGUAAGUCGAAAAUGCAUUUAAUACUCCUAACCCACGAUCACCAGAGUGUUCAGGGCAGGAUAGACAGA